GUGCUUGCUUCCACGGCACAUGUGCUAAAAUUGGAACAAUGCUGAGAAAAAUUGGUAUGGAUGGUAAAGAUGACACGCAAAUUCAUGGAGCAUUCCACAUUUUU
rnacentral:snRNA from 1 species